AACACCUGAUGAAGGAAACACCUGAUGGAGGAAACACCUGACGGAGGAAACACCUGACGGAAACACCUGAUGGAGGAAACACCUGAUGGAAACACCUGAUGGAGGAAACACCUGACGGAGGAAACACCUGAUGGAGGAGAGGAAACACCUGAUGGAGCAUCAUCAUCGUGCUGCCAGUGUACAGCAGAGAGAGGACAGGAAGCUGGACGGCCCUGACCAAUCAUCAUCCAGCACUGUUUGAGAGAAGGACGCUGGAGGUCAGGUGUCCAACGUGAUCACAUGACCAACGAUCAGAAACUCUGGUCCCACAGGAAGAAGACUCCCUCAUGAUGGGCAGGAACAGGAGACCAUCGACCUCCAGCAUUUCUCCCGCCUCACACUCCGUCCAGGACGGUGUGAGCUGCUGAACGAAGCUGCCGCCAGCUGCUGAGUACAAAUCGUGACAUGAACACUGAGGGCCCAGAGAGACGACAGCCUGCUGUUGACACAGUAAACCUAACAGAGACAUGAAUACUGCAGCGAGACACGGCGCUCUGUGAUGACUGCAGCGCUGCCCCACAUUCUGAAAGCCGCAGAGAAAUGUGCUUCAACCUGCAGACAAACGUUCCUGUGAUCUAAUAAUGCAAACUAAUGUGACAGAUUAUUCAUCACUGCUGACAGCAGCCGACAAACAGCACCAUGAAUCUGUUAAUGAACAAACUGAUGCUGCUAAUCAGUGAAGAAAUGAUGAAAUAAUGUUUUUAAACUGACACAGCAGAGUCUUCAGUGAUGGCAGGAGUAAUUACAAAGACACAGUGUCAUGAUGACAUGAUGUCGUUUCACAUUAAUAGAUUCAUGAAACACAAACAGAC